rnacentral:rRNA from 1 species
CAGUAGCCACGGUAAUACAGAGGGUGCGAGCGUUAAUCGGAUUUACUGGGCGUAAAGCGUGCGUAGGCGGCUUUUUAAGUCGGAUGUGAAAUCCCUGAGCUUAACUUAGGAAUUGCAUUCGAUACUGGGAAGCUAGAGUAUGGGAGAGGAUGGUAGAAUUCCAGGUGUAGCGGUGAAAUGCGUAGAGAUCUGGUGGAAUACCGAUGGCGAAGGCAGCCAUCUGGCCUAAUACUGACGCUGAGGUACGAAAGCAUGGGGAGCAAACAGGAUUAGAUACCCCCGUAGUCCCUGUCUCUUAUAC